rnacentral:rRNA from 1 species
GACGAACGCUGGCGGCGUGCUUAACACAUGCAAGUCGAACGGAAAGGCCCUGCUUUUGUGGGGUGCUCGAGUGGCGAACGGGUGAGUAACACGUGAGUAACCUGCCCUUGACUUUGGGAUAACUUCGGGAAACUGGGGCUAAUACCGGAUAGGAGCUCCUGCUGCAUGGUGGGGGUUGGAAAGUUUCGGCGGUUGGGGAUGGACUCGCGGCUUAUCAGCUGGUUGGUGGGGUAGUGGCUUACCAAGGCUUUGACGGGUAGCCGGCCUGAGCGGGUGACCGGACACACUGGAACUGAGAGACGGGCCAGACGCCUACGGGAGGCAGCAGGAGGGAAUCUGCCGCAAUGGGCGAAAGCGUGACGGAGCAACGCCGCGUGAGUGAGGAAGGUCUUCGGAUCGUAAAACUCUGUUAUGAGGGAAGAACAUAUGUGUAAGUAACUGUGCACAGCUUGACGGUACCUAAUCAGAAAGCCACGGCUAACUACGUG